GGCUUUAUAGUCAAUUAUGAUAUCAAAUUGCAAAUUUGAUGGUGGGCGUUGCUCUAAGGCUU
rnacentral:tRNA from 1 species